rnacentral:misc_RNA from 1 species
UCGAGUUUAGGACUCUUUGAGUCCAACUCCCACCCUUUGUGUACCAACUUCUGUUGCUUCGCCGGAUAGUAAUAUCUGGCGAGGGUACAAAACUCUAUUGUUUUCAGGUUGUCUGAGUUACAAUUGAAUUAUCA